rnacentral:rRNA from 1 species
UAAUACGGAGGGAGCAAGCGUUGUUCGGAAUUACUGGGCAUAAAGGGUGCGUAGGCGGAUAGGUAUGUCGGGCGUGAAAGCCCACGGCUCAACCGUGGAACUGCGUCCGAAACUGCCUGUCUUGAGUGGAGGAGAGGAGAGUGGAACUCCAGGUGGAGCGGUGAUAUGCGUUGAUAUCUGGGGGAACGCCGGUGGCGAAAGCGGCUCUCUGGCCUCUGUCUGACGCUGAGGCACGAAAGCUAGGGUAGCGAACGGGAUUAGAUACCCCGGUAGUCCUAGCCGUAAACGAUGGGCACUAAGUGGAGGGGGUUUCGACGCUCUCUCUGCUGUAGCAAAUGCGUUAAGUGCCCCGCCUGGGGAGUACGGUCGCAAGGCUG